rnacentral:rRNA from 1 species
UACAGAGGGGGCAAGCGUUGUUCGGAAUUACUGGGCGUAAAGGGCGCGUAGGCGGUGUGUCAAGUCAGGCGUGAAAGCCCCGGGCUCAACCUGGGAACCGCGCUUGAGACUGGCACGCUCGAGUUCGGGAGAGGAUGGUGGAAUUCCCAGUGUAGAGGUGAAAUUCGUAGAUAUUGGGAAGAACACCGAUGGCGAAGGCAGCCAUCUGGACCGACACUGACGCUGAGGCGCGAAAGCGUGGGGAGCAAACAGGGAUUAAGAA